GUGGUAAUGCCGGAUGCUCCAUCACACCGCAUGGUGUGUUGGGAAAGCCUUUGCGGCAUGGGAUGGGGUCGCGUCCUAUCAGCUUGAUGGCGGGGUAACGGCCCACCAUGGCUUCGACGGGUAGCCGGCCUGAGAGGGCGACCGGCCACAUUGGGACUGAGAUACGGCCCAGACUCCUACGGGAGGCAGCAGUGGGGAAUAUUGCACAAUGGGCGCAAGCCUGAUGCAGCGACGCCGCGUGAGGGAUGGAGGCCUUCGGGUUGUAAACCUCUUUUGUUAGGGAGCAAGGCAUUUUGUGUUGAGUGUACCUUUCGAAUAAGCACCGGCUAACUACGUGCCAGCAGCCGCGGUAAUACGUAGGGUGCAAGCGUUAUCCGGAAUUAUUGGGCGUAAAGGGCUCGUAGGCGGUUCGUCGCGUCCGGUGUGAAAGUCCAUCGCUUAACGGUGGAUUCGCGCCGGGUACGGGCGGGCUUGAGUGCGGUAGGGGAGACUGGAAUUCCCGGUGUAACGGUGGAAUGUGUAGAUA
rnacentral:rRNA from 1 species